GACCCAGUUCAAGACUUAACCUUUUCUUAUUAAUUGUUAUUUCCAUUUGUUGGGAAUUUCUUAAUACAUUCUACUCAUUCUAUAAUUUGAUCACUACAAAAUUAUUAAACCAAAACAUAUUGAACGUUACCUAUCUCAUCAUGCUAUCAAACUUUGUGUUCUUGUCUCAAAUUCCAGAUUUUGCUAAGAUGUUGGAUCCGGUUAAGGUAGCACUUAGCAGCAGCAAUAAUUCUUAAAGUUGUGAGUUGAAUAACAGCAGUAGCCAUUUACUAAUGAAAGCCAACAUUAUUUAGUUGUUGCUGGUGGACCUGAGUUGUUAAGAACUGAAGUUGGUUACAGUUAAUUGACCUGUUUGUUGAUACGCUAGUUUAGUUCUUUGUGAUGUAACUUAUAACUGAUAGGAAAGGAUGGCAUUGCAGUUAUAUAAACAGAGCUUUAUCCAUUCUUGAAAGAAUAAAAAGUAUCAUCCCUUAAGCAUUUUCAAAAUGACGAGUAAAUCCUAGUAUCGUAUACCAUCAAUUUAGCAUUAUGUCCUUAUAAAACAAAAUGUCAAUGACCAGUUUAUCUUGUGAGAGUAAAAUUGACAUAAAGGCCAAAUCUGUACCGUCAAAGUGCAAGUUUUAUUUUGUGGCCAAAGCUAAGGUCUGACUAGUAAUGAAACAUUGUUGUUUUGUUUUCUCUUUUGAACUAUUUUAUUUUCUAACAAAAUAUUAGAAUUAAAAAAAAAAAAAAACUUCUUUCCCAACAUUGAGUUGUGAAACAAUAAGGUGAACCAGUUUCCAAGUUUCUCUACUCUUCAGAAUUCCUAUCUGACAAUUUACUUUAGAGUCUCUUCAUAGAGUCAAUAAUGGCUGUUAUUUUUUACUUUGUGUGAUGGUCCAUAAUGAUCUUCUACUUCUUGUUUUCUUGGUUGCUUUGAUGCUCUAAAUGAAACUAAUGAAUUCCCUUCAUAUUUUCUUAAUCUUAUGAAUUUUGUUUUGUCUAACCAUAAUGGUCUUCUACUUCCCUUUUCUUGGUUGCUUUAAUGGUCUAAAUGAAACUAAUGAAUUUCCUUCACAGUUUCUUAAUCUUCUAGACAAGGGGUGUGCACGGUUUUUGGUUCUACCGAACCGAACUAAAAAGAAUCGAAAAAAAAAAAAAUAAAA
rnacentral:misc_RNA from 1 species